CAGAAACAACAGGACAGACUUUGUUCUCCUUCAGAGCUGCCAGAGCUGGACAUGACAUCACUUUGUCUUGUGAAAAUGUGAUAGAUGGUCAACAUGACUGCAGCUAUACUAACUGGAUGUUCACUGAUUCAAGACAGACACCAGCAGUAGAGCUGGUUGUUCAUGGACAGAUUAAUGAAAAUGCUAAAGCUGAAUACACCAGACUGAGUGUUACAGCGAACUGUUCUCUGCUUAUAAAGAAGGUACAAGCUGAGGAUGUUGGUCGUUACACCUGCACACAGUACAAAACAAGAGGAGGACAAGAAGAAGUGACUGAACAUGAGAACAACAAUAAAGUCAUUGUGAACUGCUCUGUGCUGACACAUGAACACUGUAGACACACAGUGGAGUGGCUGCAUGAGGGUGAAAAGAAAAUAUCAGACGAGGAGAUAAAACCAGGUUUCUGCUCUGUGACUGUGACAUUUAAAAGAUCUCACCGUGAUCAGAAGUCACAGUUUUAUAAUUCAUUGAAGUGCAAAGUGACAGAUAAACACACUAAAGAAGAACAACUGUUUCUCUUCAAACUCAAGUCCUCAGGUGAGAAAACAGGUGAAAACACAAAAUCAACGACUGCAAAAUUUACCUCAACAACAAGAACAACAACAGCAAUGAGAUCAACAACAACAAUGAGAUCAACAACAACAAUGAGAUCAACAACAACAAUGAGAUCAACAACAACAAUGAGAUCAACAACAACAAUGAGAACAACAACAACAACAACAACAAUGAGAUCAACAACAACAAUGAGAACAACAACAACAACAAUGAGAACAACAAAAUCUUCUCUAGAAUCAAAAAAAUCCUCACAAGGUUUGUUAUUAUGGCUCAUUAUCCUUCCCGUUGGUUUAUCAGCACUCUUAAUAAUUGUUGUGGUCAUAAGAUGGAAGAAACAUAAAGGUAAAAGCAUCCUCAGAUUAUAGUUUAACAUAAUAUAACUAAUGUUAAGAAUGUGAAAAUGGUGAAUUGAAGAGAUUUCUUAUUUUGUAGAUUGGGAUCGUUAGCAAACAGGCAAAAAAUGGAUUUUUAAUGUGGAACUAAUCGCAGUGGGGUUUUUUUUUUUUUUUUUCUUUUUCAGGAAAAGAAGGGCAGCUGGCCGGCAACACUGUGAGUUCAAAUAGUUCCAUUGUUUCAUAUGAGAUUGAGCUAAUAAACCUUUAGAGGUGACUUCAUGCCUCUAAAUGACUAAAUAAAAUACAGGAUUUACCAUCAGAAACAGAACAGCUGACAAAGCUGCAAGUGAGCUGAAUCAGCUCCUCACUGACAAUGUUUAACUAUUUAAGUAACAUUUAGAUCUUUACACAGUUACUCUUCUGUUUGUGAGCAGGGACUGAGCUUAAACGCUGCAGAGACUCAGUCUGGACCAGGAACCAAUCAAACCAGGGCUGGAGCUGAUGAUGGUGUUUCCUACGUCUCCAUCAGCUUGCCCAAGAGGACCAGGAGUAAAACCCGGUCCCGUGGUCAUGAUGAAGGUGACACUGUGACCUACAGCACAGUGAAAGCUGUUUCCUCUUCUGCUGGAGAUGAUCCCAACCACCUCUAUUCCACCAUCAAUGAUGUAAAGAAGUAGGAUGAUGCUCAUGAAAAGAGAUAUGGUAGAUGCUGUUUCACUUUUUAGAUGAGAGAGUGAAUGUGAAAAGUCAUGGGUUAUUUUUUUUUGUCUUACGUAUUGGUUGUUUUGAACUAAUAACAUAAUAUUGUUUUGGUAAAUGGACUUAUAUAACACUUUUAUAUAGCUACUCUUUCAGAGCACUCAAAGUGCUUUAUACAACAAAUUCAUUCACCCAAGCAGUUAAGUGCUCCCUAUCUAACAUUAAUACUCAUUCACACUCCGAUGGAAGCAUCGGAGAGCAACAUGGGGUUAGUAUCUUGCCCAAGAAUAUUUGGCAUGCAGACUGGAGCAGACUGGGAUCAAACCACCACCCUUCUGGUUAGUAGCUGACCUGCUCUAACACCUGAGCUACAGACACCAAACUGAAAAUCAUUUAUGUUUCAAAAACAGACAUGUUACCACACAUAUAUAUUUCUGUUUUGACCUAAACUGUUUCUGCCAGAGGGGUAUGUGUUGACGUUUUAUUCCAAGAAACCUUUUCUGUUUGCUGCUGCUCAUAAAAGUUUAGCUGAUAGCGUCCUAUCACAGUACAUGACAUCAUUACUGUCUAAGGCGCAGCUUCAAAUGCAUCCUGAACAGUGCGGACAAAAAUUAGAAAUAAGAAAAAGUACUAAUAAAUUUUUUUUUGCCACUGUAAAUAAAUGCUUUAAAUAAAGGAUCCAGAUACUUUCUUCAUUUUAAGAAGAAACCACUUUAGAGCCUGUGUCAUUUUGUUAUAAUUGCACAUAUUGAAGUGUUCACUGAAAAAAGAUAAUGUUGGAUUUAUUUAAUUUAAUAGUGGACAUUGGAUAAACACAG
ensembl:lncRNA